rnacentral:rRNA from 1 species
ACGAACGCUGGCGGCGUGCUUAACCCAUGCAAGUCGCACGGAAAGGCCUCUUUCGGGGGGUACUCGAGUGGCGAACGGGUGAGUAACACGUGAGUAACCUGCCCUUGACUUUGGGAUAACUUCAGGAAACUGGGGCUAAUACCGGAUAGGAGCUCCUGCUGCAUGGUGGGGGUUGGAAAGUUUCGGCGGUUGGGGAUGGACUCGCGGCUUAUCAGCUUGUUGGUGGGGUAGUGGCUUACCAAGGCUUUGACGGGUAGCCGGCCUGAGAGGGUGACCGGCCACAUUGGGACUGAGAUACGGCCCAGACUCCUACGGGAGGCAGCAGUGGGGAAUAUUGCACAAUGGGUGGAAGCCUGAUGCAGCAACGCCGUGUGCGGGAUGACGGCCUUCGGGUUGUAAACCGCUUUCGCUCAUGACGAAGCUUUGUGUGACGGUAGUGGGUAAAGAAGCACCGGCUAACUACGUG